UGGUGUAUUGGGAAGAAACCUAAUUUCUCAUAAUCAGAUUACUGCUGUUAUCUAAUCUAUCAUGUCACAUUAUGUUGUUUACAUGAUCGCUUGAAUAAUCGGAUAACUCCAGAAAUCAGAUAAUGAUCUGAGUUUUAGUGUGCAUGUGAAUGGUCUCAUUGAUG